AUCCAGCUGAUGAGUCCCAAAUAGAACGAAACUUACUUUGUCCUGGAU
rnacentral:hammerhead_ribozyme from 1 species